ACGCUCGACACCUACGGGAGACAGCAGUGGGGAAUAUUGCACAAUGGGGGAAACCCUGAUGCAGCGACGCCGCGUGAGUGAAGAAGUAAUUCGUUAUGUAAAGCUCUAUCAGCAGGGAAGAAAGUGACGGUACCUGAGUAAGAAGCCCCGGCUAACUACGUGCCGGCAGCCGCGGUAAUCUGAGCGGGCUGGCAAGGC
rnacentral:rRNA from 1 species